rnacentral:rRNA from 1 species
GCGUAGAGAUGUGGAGGAACACCAGUGGCGAAGGCGACUCUCUGGUCUGUAACUGACGCUGAGGCGCGAAAGCGUGGGGAGCGAACAGGAUUAGAUACCCUGGUAGUCCACGCCGUAAACGAUGAGUGCUAAGUGUUAGAGGGUUUCCGCCCUUUAGUGCUGCAGCAAACGCAUUAAGCACUCCGCCUGGGGAGUACGGUCGCAAGACUGAAACUCAAAGGAAUUGACGGGGGCCCGCACAAGCGGUGGAGCAUGUGGUUUAAUUCGAAGCAACGCGAAGAACCUUACCAGGUCUUGACAUCCUUCGCUACUUCUAGAGAUAGAAGGUUCCCCUUCGGGGGACGAAGUGACAGGUGGUGCAUGGUUGUCGUCAGCUCGUGUCGUGAGAUGUUGGGUUAAGUCCCGCAACGAGCGCAACCCUUGAUCUUAGUUGCCAGCAUUCAGUUGGGCACUCUAAGGUGACUGCCGGUGACAAACCGGAGGAAGGUGGGG